rnacentral:rRNA from 1 species
AUUGAACGCUGGCGGCAUGCCUUACACAUGCAAGUCGAACGGUAACGCGGGGCAACCUGGCGACGAGUGGCGAACGGGUGAGUAAUGCAUCGGAACGUGCCUGGUAGUGGGGGAUAACUGCUCGAAAGAGCAGCUAAUACCGCAUACGACCUGAGGGUGAAAGGGGGGGAUCGCAAGACCUCUCGCUAUCAGAGCGGCCGAUGUCGGAUUAGCUAGUUGGUGGGGUAAAGGCCCACCAAGGCAACGAUCCGUAGCUGGUCUGAGAGGACGACCAGCCACACUGGGACUGAGACACGGCCCAGACUCCUACGGGAGGCAGCAGUGGGGAAUUUUGGACAAUGGACGCAAGUCUGAUCCAGCCAUGCCGCGUGCGGGAAGAAGGCCUUCGGGUUGUAAACCGCUUUUGUCAGGGAAGAAAUCUUCUGGGCUAAUACCCUGGGAGGAUGACGGUACCUGAAGAAUAAGCACCGGCUAACUACGUGCCAGCCGCCGCGGUAAUAC